UUUUUGAAGGAAAUUAAUGAAAUUAAUAAAGAUGGUCAAAAUUUGAUAAUAAAUAAUGAACCAAAUGUUUACUAUUACCAAAUUGAUCCCCUAAAAUGUUUUCUGGUUUUUAAGCUCAAUUUUCAAUAUCUCUGGAUUGAAUUACAAAAAAAAUGUUUCCGAAAAAGUAACAGCGAAUAAUAAAUUUGGAAUCCAGUUCAGUAACGUGGUGGUACACGUGAACGCGUAGUUGAUAUGCCGAUCAUAAUUAAAACACGUAAUCGGUAUCGUGGAACUUCUACACCAGAUUACGUACGUACGUAGUAUUGACGAAACCGAUCCGAUGCGUACAAGAACGAAAACACGAAAAACAAAUUCUGCUGGAUCAUAAGUAGUAGUAUGUUUCCUAUUUACAUAUAAUUUUUAUGGGUUGUACUCGUGUUGUAUAAUAUUAAAUAUUAAUUUUGGUAAUGAUCA